rnacentral:lncRNA from 1 species
AUGGAAAAAAGAUAUUUACCGCUAACCCAGAACACCCCCAAAGAAACUGAUGUCUAAAGAUAUCAAAUAUAUGCUCCGAUCCUAGCCCUUGCCAUGACACACAUAGGACAUAGUCAAAAUAGAUGAAAACUCUACAGCCUCUGGCCGAAGUGGUCCUUGUUGAUUUCAUUCAGUAUUAAUGUGACCAUGUGAAAAAUUUUAUUGUCAGCCACUGCUGCAGGCAGCGUGGAAAAGAAGAAAGAAUGAAGAGAGACAACCAUUGACAUUUGAUAACCACCAGGAUGGGAGUAAAUGACUUGUGGCAAAUUUUGGAGCCUGUUAAACAACACGUCCACUUGCACAGUCUCAGUGGGAAAACCAUUGCGGUUGAUCUGAGUCUCUGGGUGUGUGAAGCACAGACAGUCAAAAAAAUGAUUGGGACAGUCAUGAAGCCCCACCUCAGGAAUCUAUUUUUUCGUAUCUCAUAUUUAACGCUAAUGGAUGUAAAGCUGGUGUUCGUUAUGGAAGGGGAACCCCCCCACCUGAAAGCUGAUGUCAUCAGUAAGAGGAAUCAGGUCCGAUAUGGACCUUCUGGAAAAACAUGGUCUCAGAAAACAGGGAGAUCACAUUUUAAGUCAGUCUUGAAGGAGUGUCUUGAUAUGCUGGAAUGCUUAGGAAUUCCCUGGGUCCAAGCUGCUGGUGAAGCUGAAGCCAUGUGUGCCUACCUCAACGCCAGUGGUUAUGUGGAUGGCUGCCUCACCAAUGAUGGAGACACUUUCCUUUAUGGGGCCCAGACUGUUUAUAGGAAUUUCACUAUGAACACCAAGGACCCACAUGUUGACUGUUAUACAAUGUCAUCCAUCAAGACUAAACUAGGUUUGAAUAGAGAUGCUCUGGUUGGGCUGGCAAUACUACUUGGCUGUGAUUAUCUUCCAAAGGGAGUCCCUGGAGUUGGAAAAGAGCAAGCAUUAAAACUGAUAAAGAUUUUGAAAGGGCAAAGUUUACUUCAGAGGUUUAAUCAGUGGAAUGAAAAAUCUUGUUACUCUAAUUCACAACCAGUACUCGUUAACAAACUGGCUCAUUGCUCUGUGUGUUCCCAUCCAGGUUCAUCUAAGGAUCAUGAACGUAUUGGAUGCAAAUUGUGUCAAACUGAUCGAUACUGUGAACCACAUGAUUAUGAAUACUGUUGUCCUUGUGAAUGGCACCGUGCAGAACAUGAGAGGCAACUGAGUACAAUAGAAAACAAUAUUAAGAAAAAAGCUUGCAGUUGUGAGGGAUUCCCAUUCCAUGAGGUUACUCAAGAAUUCCUUCUGAACAAGGAUAAAUUGAUGAAGGCAAUCAGGUACCAAAGACCUGAUUUAUUAUUGUUUCAGAGAUUUACUCUUGAAAAAAUGGAGUGGCCCAAUCACUAUGCAUGUGAGAAAUUGUUGACACUGUUGACCCACUAUGACAUGACAGAAAGGAAGCUCGGUCGAAGGAACUCUAAUCAACUGCAGCCGAUUCGAAUCGUUAAAAACCGAAUCAGAAAUGGAGUUCAUUGUUUUGAAAUAGAAUGGGAAAAGCCUGAACAUUAUGCUACAGAAGAUAAACAUGGAGAAUUGGCUCUACAAACAGUAGAAGAAGAGUCAUUGUUUGAAGCAGCUUAUCCUGAGAUUGUUGCUAUUUACCAAAAACAAAAGUCAGAAAAUAAAGGGAAGAAACAAAAAAGCAUGAAAAUUAAGUCUAACGGAAACAGUUUGCAAGAAUCAGAUGCGAUGAUGAAAGUUCAGUCACAUAUGACUUUAAAACCCACAUGGGAAAUCUUUCCUAAGCAGAAUUCCAAGUUAAGCUUGGAAAGUUCCCCUGAUUCUGCAUCACCCGAGGAAUCUAUUUCCACACCAUUGAAUGUCUUGCUCUUACCUGAAGAUGCUGUCUGUUUGACUACACAAGAACAGUCAAUAUCUUCUCCAAGAUCUUUGGCUGUGCAGCAAAUUAAAGAUAUCAGUAAGUCUCUAAUUGCAGAAUCUAGUCAACCUAGUACCUCAUCCCAUAAUAUAUCCACAGUUGCUGAUCUACACUUGAGCACCAUCGACUGGGAAGGUACUUCUUUUAGUAUUUCUUCUAGUAACUCGCCGGCCAUCCACAGGAACACAUUUACUCAUGGUUUAAAAUCGGAACUUGAAACAGCUAUUCCUGACAGUUUAAAAAAUAAUCCAGAGCAGUUGUAUUGUGAAUCAGAACGGCACAACACCAGUGUUAAUAAACUGUCCUGUUGGGAUCUUCAGAAGACUAAUCGUGAGGAGCACCUACUUUCUGGCAUUAGUGAUUUACAUCUUCAGGAUUUACCCUUAAAGGAACGAAUACUUAUAAAAUCAUAUCCUCAGAAUACUGUAGAACCAGAUGUUGACCUAAAAACUUUCUCACUACUUACUGUAAAAGAACAGUGUGUUGCUAAUAGUACUUCUCAUUGUCCACCAUAUCUUUCCAAGGAUCUUCUAGGAAUUCAUUUGCAAAAUGAAUCUAGAAACUGUAAAGUUCUAAAAGGAGACCAACUAUUUCAAGAAAAUGAUAAAUCAAAUACAUCUGUACCCUUGUCUGUCAAUAACCCAGGAACGAAAACCUCCAAUGUUAGAACUGGGCCACCAAAUGCUGCUUUAUAUCAUAGUAGAAAAGCUGGCGUUCAAAUCGCUCGGAAAACUGUAAUGAAGAAGAGUGUUUGCCUUGACAGACUUUCCUCUGAUGAAGAAAGUGUCCCAGAGUUUGGGAAAGCUAAAUCCACAACUCAAAAAGUGAAGCAGAGUUCUCAGAAGCAUAGCCCAACCCAGCUCAAGAAAAAUGAUGCCAACAAAUUGAGUAACCCUAAGGCAUAUAUUAAAGAAAUUGAGCAGUGUGUCCAGGCUUAUAAACCAGCUAGAAAUGAAGAAGCCUGUCUCCCAGAUGCCCCAAAAGAGCCUCCUAGUUUUCUACGAUACCAUAAGGAUAAAGAUGACUCUGGUACCUGUUUGGAUAGUCCUCUUCCUUUAAGUCAGAGAUUAAAACUAAGGUUCCAAAACACUUGAAGUUUAAAGUAUUCAG